rnacentral:rRNA from 1 species
GAUGAACGCUAGCGGCAGGCCUAACACAUGCAAGUCGAGGGGUAGAAGGAGCUUGCUCCUUUGAGACCGGCGCACGGGUGCGUAACGCGUAUGCAAUCUCCCUUGUACAGGGGAAUAGCCCAGAGAAAUUUGGAUUAAUGCCCCAUAGUAUAUAACCUUCGCAUGUUGGUUAUAUUAAAGUUCCAACGGUACAAGAUGAGCAUGCGUCCCAUUAGUUAGUUGGUAAGGUAACGGCUUACCAAGACGAGGAUGGGUAGGGGUCCUGAGAGGGAUAUCCCCCCGACGGGUACUGGGACACCGACCCGACUCCUACGGAAGGCAGCAGUUAGGAAUAUUGGUCAAUGGUUGCAAGACUGACCCAGCCGUGGAACGUGCAGGGAGGCGGUCCCAUGGGUUGUAUACUGCUUUUAUGCAGGAAGAAACCCUCCCACGUGUGGGAGCUUGACGGUACUGUAGGAAUAAGGAUCGGCUAACUCCGUGCCAGCAGCCGCCGUAAAAC